rnacentral:rRNA from 1 species
GGGUGAGUAACACGUGGGGUAACCUGCCCAUAAGACUGGGAUAACUCCGGGAAACCGGGGCUAAUACCGGAUAACAUUUUGAACCGCAUGGUUCGAAAUUGAAAGGCGGCUUCGGCUGUCACUUAUGGAUGGACCCGCGUCGCAUUAGCUAGUUGGUGAGGUAACGGCUCACCAAGGCAACGAUGCGUAGCCGACCUGAGAGGGUGAUCGGCCACACUGGGACUGAGACACGGCCCAGACUCCUACGGGAGGCAGCAGUAGGGAAUCUUCCGCAAUGGACGAAAGUCUGACGGAGCAACGCCGCGUGAGUGAUGAAGGCUUUCGGGUCGUANAACUCUGUUGUUAGGGAAGAACAAGUGCUAGUUGAAUAAGCUGGCACCUUGACGGUACCUAACCAGAAAGCCACGGCUAACUACGUGCCAGCAGCCGCGGUAAUA